rnacentral:rRNA from 1 species
UACGGAGGGUGCGAGCGUUGUCCGGAAUCACUGGGCGUAAAGGGCGCGUAGGCGGCUCAUGAAGGCUGUGGUGAAAGUCCGGGGCUCAACCUCGGAUCGGCCGUGGCGACUCGUGGGCUGGAGCACUGUAGAGGCGGGUGGAAUUCCGGGUGUAGCGGUGGAAUGCGUAGAGAUCCGGAAGAACACCAGUGGCGAAGGCGGCCCGCUGGGCAGUGGCUGACGCCUGAGG